rnacentral:piRNA from 1 species
CCCCAGAAGAUGAGCUCUGUUACAAGCAG